rnacentral:rRNA from 1 species
AGUGAACGCUGGCGGUAGGCCUAACACAUGCAAGUCGAACGGCAGCACAGUAAGAGCUUGCUCUUACGGGUGGCGAGUGGCGGACGGGUGAGGAAUACAUCGGAAUCUACUUUUUCGUGGGGGAUAACGUAGUGAAACUUACGCUAAUACCGCAUACGACCUACGGGUGAAAGCAGGGGAUCUUCGGACCUUGCGCGAUUGAAUGAGCCGAUGUCGGAUUAGCUAGUUGGCGGGGUAAAGGCCCACCAAGGCGACGAUCCGUAGCUGGUCUGAGGGGAUGAUCAGCCACACUGGAACUGAGACACGGUCCAGACUCCUACGGGAGGCAGCAGUGGGGAAUAUUGGACAAUGGGCGCAAGCCUGAUCCAGCCAUACCGCGUGGGUGAAGAAGGCCUUCGGGUUGUAAAGCCCUUUUGUUGGGAAAGAAAAGCAGCAGGUUAAUACCCCGCUGUUCUGACGGUACCCAAAGAAUAAGCACCGGCUAACUUCGUG